UGCACCCGCUGAAUUUAAGCAUAUCACUAAAGGGAGGAAAAGAAACUAACAAGGAUUCCCCUAGUAACGGCGAGUGAACAGGGAAAAGCCCAUGCAUGAAUCCUGCAGAGUGAAUCUGUUAGGAAAUGUAGCGUAUGGGUACCCUUGCUGAGAUUGCACGUUUGUCCAGAAAUUCACUUGAAUGUGAUGCCACUGAGGGUGUGAGCCCCGUAAUGGACAGACGUUGUUUUCUCUUAAGGGUAUUCUUGAGUAGGGUUGUUUGUGAUUGCAGCCCGAAUUAGGUGGUAAACUCCAUCUAAGGCUAAAUAUAACACUAGUCCGAUAGUAAACAAGUACCGUGAGGGAAAGUUGAAAAGAACUUUGAAGAGAGAGUUAAAUAGUACGUGAAAUUGCUCAGAGGUAAGCGAGUGGAGCUGAAAGGGUGUCCUGUUAUAUGUAGAUCAGGCCGAUACAUUUUUGCUGGGGAGUGUUUUACCUCUAGUAGAAUGUUAGUUUGCUAAAUCUGCAAUUAUACAGGCGCUUUAACCACGAACAAUGUUGGGAGGCAUUGUAAUAAGAAUCACGGUAGUGCUGACAUUUUUGUUGGCGCGAAAGGAUUCUUAUGCGAUCGUUUUCUGAUAUUGGAGUAUGCGGUGCAAGCUUGUGCGUAGAAGUUUGCUGUAGAUGGGGAUAUACCAUGUAGACUCUUCGGAGGUUACAGGUAUAUUCUUGUCUAUGGUAAGCCUCUGUACAUUGUGCCUAUAUUCUGUGGUUGUCAAAGUAGGUAGUCCACUCGACCCGUCUUGAAACACGGACCAAGGAGUGCACCUUAUGCGCGAGUCAAUGAGUCUUACGAAACUCAAAGGCGAAGCGAAAGCAAAGGCUUUCUUUUGAAAGCUUAGGUGAGAUCUGUGGAUAACCUGGCUACAGGUAACUGCAGCGCAUCACCGGCUCGUCAUUUGACGACGCAAGAGCGCAUAGGGUACGACCCGAAAGAUGGUGAUCUAUGCUUGCGUAGGCUGAAGUCAGGGGAAACUCUGAUGGAAGGCCGUAGCGGUUCUGACGUGCAAAUCGAUCGUCAAACGUGAGUAUAGGGGCGAAAGACUAAUCGAACCAUCUAGUAGCUGGUUCCCUCUGAAGUUUCCCUCAGGAUAGCUAGCCCCAUUAAACAGUUUUAUCCGGUAAAGCAAAUGAUUAGAGGUAGUGGGGAAGUAAUUUCCUCAACCUACUCUCAAACUUUAAAUGGGUAAGAUGUCCGACUCGCUUUUUUGGAGUUGGACAUCGAAUGUCGGGGCCAAGUGGGCCAUUUUUGGUAAGCAGAACUGGCGCUGUGGGAUGAACCACACGUGAAGUUAAGGUGCUAAAAGCAACGCUUAUCAGACACCACAAAAGGUGUUGGUUGAUAUAGACAGCAGGGCGGUGGCCAUGGAAGUCGGAAUCCGCUAAGGAGUGUGUAACAACUCACCUGCCGAAUCAACCAGCCCUGAAAAUGGAUAGCGCUGGAGCGUUGGACCUAUACUUCACUGUAUUGACAUGUUUAGCCACGUAUGUCAAUACAAGUAAGAGGGUGACAUGGUAGCGUUGAAGCGCCUGAUGUAAAUCAGAGUGGAGCUGCCAUGUGUACAGAUCUUGGUGGCAGUAGCAAUUAUUCAAGUGAAAACCUUGAAGACCGAAGUGGAGAAGGGUUCCAUGUGAACAGCACUUGAACAUGGGUCAGGCGGCCCUAAGCGAACUGGUAAAUCAGUACGCAGAGACAGUUUUUCUGUCAUGAGCAAAAGGGUAUCGGGUUAAUAUUCCCGACCUUGUCUGUGGAAAUAGGUACUUUUGUACCAAACGCGGUAACGCAAACGAUCUUGCCGACGGUGGCUUAGAUCCCGGAGAGAGUUCUCUUUUCUUUGUAAGGUGCACAAACCCUGGAAUGUUAUUAUAACGAGAUAGGGUUACCGCAUCCGUAAAGCACCGCAGUUAUUGCGGUGUCCGGUGUAUCUAAGUCGCCCCUUGAAAAGGCAAGUGAGGUGAUUAUUUUCCAGACAAACCGUACCCAUAUCCGCAGCAGGUCUCCAAGGUUAGUAACCUCUGGUCUUAGAACAAUGUAGAUAAGGGAAGUCGGCAACUUAGAUCCGUACCUUCGGAAAAAGGAUUGGCUCUGAGGGCUGAGUAAGACGAGCAAUUGCUUAAAGCAGAGCGGUCUGUGCUAGAGGCUUAGAGGGGCAACUCUUUGAGUCAAUAGUGUGACUGCUCUGUGGACGGCUUUUGCUACAGAGUUCCUUUCGGGGGACUCUUCGUCUU
rnacentral:rRNA from 1 species